GGUGGAAUGNGCAGAUNUCAGGAGGAACACCAGUGGCGAAGGCGGUUNUCUGGGCCUUUCCNGACGNUGAGGAGCGAAAGCGUGGGGAGCGAACAGGCUUAGAUACCCUGGUAGUCCACGCUGUAAACGGUGGGUACUAGGUGUGGGGUCCAUUCCACGGGUUCCGUGCCGUAGCUAACGCUUUAAGUACCCCGCCUGGGGAGUACGGCCGCAAGGCUAAAACUCAAAGGAAUUGACGGGGCCCCGCACAAGCGGCGGAGCAUGCGGAUUAAUUCGAUGCAACGCGUAGAACCUUACCUGGGUUUGACAUGGAUCGGGAGUGCUCAGAGAUGGGUGUGCCUCUUUUGGGGUCGGUUCACAGGUGGUGCAUGGCUGUCGUCAGCUCGUGUCGUGAGAUGUUGGGUUAAGUCCCGCAACGAGCGCAACCCUUGUUCACUGUUGCCAGCACGUUAUGGUGGGGACUCAGUGGAGACCGCCGGGGUCAACUCGGAGGAAGGUGGGGAUGACGUCAAGUCAUCAUGCCCCUUAUGUCCAGGGCUUCACGCAUGCUACAAUGGCUGGUACAGAGAGUGGCGAGCCUGUGAGGGUGAGCGAAUCUCGGAAAGCCGGUCUCAGUUCGGAUUGGGGUCUGCAACUCGACCUCAUGAAGUCGGAGUCGCUAGUAAUCGCAGAUCAGCAACGCUGCGGUGAAUACGUUCCCGGGGCUUGUACACACCGCCCGUCAAGUCAUGAAAGUUGGUAACACCCGAAGCCGGUGGCCUAACCGUUGUGGGGGAGCCGUCGAAGGUGGGACUGGNAUUAGGACUAAGUC
rnacentral:rRNA from 1 species